CGUGAACCUUUACUAUAGCUUGACACUGAACAUUGAGCCUUGAUGUGUAGGAUAGGUGGGAGGCUUUGAAGUGUGGACGCCAGUCUGCAUGGAGCCGACCUUGAAAUACCACCCUUUAAUGUUUGAUGUUCUAACGUUGACCCGUGAUCCGGGUUGCGGACAGUGUCUGGUGGGUAGUUUGACUGGGGCGGUCUCCUCCUAAAGAGUAACGGAGGAGCACGAAGGUUGGCUAAUCCUGGUCGGAC
rnacentral:rRNA from 1 species